rnacentral:lncRNA from 1 species
GCCAGCCGCGGGAAGCCGCGCAGGCUGCGCCAGCUCACUUCUGAAGACCUCUUGAUAAACAUUUAUAAACAUUUGUAGUAUUUUAAAUUUCCCCUCAAUAAUUUAUGACUAGUUAUUUUAUAUACUUUAAAGUGGGUAAUAAUGUAAAAUUCAUAAGGCGGGAGCGCUCGGAGUGGCAGCGCAGCGUCGCGGGGCUGGGAGCGAGGCGCAGCCUUCCCCGCCUCCCGCAGCCCAGCUCCGGUGGAAACUUUGAAGGCUGCAGCAGCGGCGUCAAACGGGGAUGCGGAGGUUCCUGGUUAGCAGCUCCCCCUCCGCAGAGCUGCUCCGAGGAUUUGACACCGCAAUUGUUUUCUGAAGAGAACACGCGACUCCCUUCUUAUGUAUUCCCUUUCCCGGUGUUUGUAUUUGCUUCAAAGUCUCCUCAUCACCCUGUUUGGUGACAAAAACUCAUGUCUGGAGAUCAGGAGGCGCGUUCCUGAUUGAUCUGGAAGCAGCAGCUCGGUGCGAGGGAAGGAGUCUAUACACACCGCAACAGCUCUUUAAUUUCUUAAUUUAAUAUCUGACACGUAAAGAUUCUCAUUAAGCCAGUCAAUGAAGCCUGGAAAUACAAUUUUCGUGCAAACUGUCGCUAUCAUAACUUACACGAAACUUCAGCUGGUGCCCUGUAAGCGGCGUGAUUAAAACCAUUCAUCUUCCUUGUCAGCCUCCCCGUCACCGCGACACCCGUGCCCAGCGCCGUGCCACCGCCGUGCGGGGCCCGUGGGUGCUGGGUCCAACGCUGCAGCCCCAGCACCCGUGGGUGGGGGCCUGGGGGGCCGGAUCCUGCGGGGAGGCGUCCCCAGGGUGGGAGGUGCGCAGGAGGGAGGCCUUGCCAGAGAUGCUAAUUAGGGAAAUGAAUUCCUGUUGAGUCUCAGCUCUUCUCGGCCACAGGGAAGAUAAAAAGCAUUGUGCUUCAGUGCUGAUUAAAUCCCGAAGACCGAGGCAGGGAUUAGUGCCGAAGCUGCUCCUCGGAGUGUCUGCAGCACGUGCAU